rnacentral:rRNA from 1 species
AGUCAGGAGUGAAAGGCUACGGCUCAACCGUAGUAAGCUCUUGAAACUGGGAGACUUGAGUGCAGGAGAGGAGAGUGGAAUUCCUAGUGUAGCGGUGAAAUGCGUAGAUAUUAGGAGGAACACCAGUUGCGAAGGCGGCUCUCUGGACUGUAACUGACGCUGAGGCACGAAAGCGUGGGGAGCAAACAGGAUUAGAUACCCUGGUAGUCCACGCUGUAAACGAUGAGUACUAGGUGUCGGGGGUUACCCCCUUCGGUGCCGCAGCUAACGCAUUAAGUACUCCGCCCGGGAAGUACGC